UACGUAGGGAGCAAGCGUUGUCCGGAAUCAUUGGGCGUAAAGCGCGCGUAGGUGGCCUCAUAAGUCCGUUGUGAAAGUCAAAGGCUCAACCUUUGAAAGCCGAUGGAUACUGUGAGACUAGAGUACGGAAGAGGCGAGUGGAAUUCCUGGUGUAGCGGUGGAAUGCGCAGAUAUCAGGAGGAACACCAAUAGCGAAGGCAGCUCGCUGGGACGUUACUGACACUGAGGCGCGAAAGCGUGGGGAGCAAACAGG
rnacentral:rRNA from 1 species